rnacentral:rRNA from 1 species
AUUGAACGCUGGCGGCAGGCCUAACACAUGCAAGUCGAGCGGCUGAAGGGGGCUGGUUCCUGUAUUCAGCGGCGCACGGGCAAGGAAUGCUUACGAGUCUGCCUCGUAGUGGGUGAUAACGUCCGGCAACGGGCGCUACUACCUCAUACGUCCUGAGGGAGCAAGUGGGGGUUCUUCGGACCUCACGCUAACUGAUGAGCCUAUGUCGGUUUAGCUAGUUGGCGUGGUAAAGGAGUACCAAGGCAACGAUCCGAAACUGGGCUGAGGGGAUGAGCAGUCACACUGGAACUGAGACACGGUCCAGACUACUACGGGAGGCAGCGGUGGGGAAUAUUGGACAAUGGGCGAAAGCCUGAUCCAGACAUGCCGCGUGCGGUAAGAAGGUCCUCGGAUUGUAAAGCUCUUUAAGUUGGGAGGAAGAGUAGUAAGUUAAUACCUUGCUGUCUUGACGUUACCAAAAGAAUAAGCACCGGCUAACUUCGUG